GAUGAAGAACGCAGCGAAAUGCGAUAAGUAAUGUGAAUUGCAGAAUUCAGUGAAUCAUCGAAUCUUUGAACGCACAUUGCGCCCGCCAGUAUUCUGGCGGGCAUGCCUGUCCGAGCGUCAUUUCAACCAUCAAGCCCCGGGCUUGUGUUGGGGACCUGCGUCCGACGCAGGCCCUGAAAACCAGUGGCGGGCUCGCUGUCCACACCGAGCGUAGUAACUAACCUCGCUAUGGAGUGGCGCGGGCGCCUGCCGUAAAACCCCCAAUUUCACAAGGUUGACCUCGGAUCAGGUAGGAAUACCCGCUGAACUUAAGCAUAUCAAUAAGCGGAGGA
rnacentral:misc_RNA from 1 species